UACAGGGGGCUCGAGCGUUAGUCGGAAUCACUGGGCUUAAAGGGUGCGUAGGCGGCCCGCCAAGUGCUUUGUGAAAUCCCACAGCUCAACUGUGGAACAGCAGGGCAAACUGGCGGGCUUGAAGCAGGUAGGGGCUGGAAGAACAGUUGGUGGAGCGGUGAAAUGCGCAGAUAUCGGGAGGAACACCCGUAGCGAAGGCGGCACUCUGGGCCGGUACUGACGCUGAGGAGCGAAAGCGUGGGGAGCAAACAGG
rnacentral:rRNA from 1 species